GAUGAACGCUGGCGGCGUGCCUAACACAUGCAAGUCGAACGGAGUUCUUAAGGAAUGCGGCUUCGGCUAAAUGACUUUUGAACUUAGUGGCGGACGGGUGAGUAACGCGUGAGCAACCUGCCUUUCAGAGGGGGAUAACAUUUGGAAACAGAUGCUAAUACCGCAUAAGAUUACAGUACCGCAUGAUACAGUGAUCAAAGGAGCAAUCCGCUGAAAGAUGGGCUCGCGUCCGAUUAGAUAGUUGGUGAGGUAACGGCUCACCAAGUCGACGAUCGGUAGCCGGACUGAGAGGUUGAACGGCCACAUUGGGACUGAGACACGGCCCAGACUCCUACGGGAGGCAGCAGUGGGGAAUAUUGCACAAUGGGCGAAAGCCUGAUGCAGCAACGCCGCGUGAGGGAAGACGGUUUUCGGAUUGUAAACCUCUGUUUUCGGUGACGAACAAAUGACGGUAACCGAGUAGGAAGCC
rnacentral:rRNA from 1 species